rnacentral:lncRNA from 1 species
CAAUCGCGCCCACACCAUCAAAGUAAAAGCCCAGGCCCAGGAAGUAGAAUGGGGGCUGUCAAGAGCUGGGGAAGGGGGAGCUAGUGUUUAAUAGGUGUAGCGUUUCAGCUGGGGGAUGAGAAAGUUCUGGAGAUGGAUGGUGGAGAUGGUUGUGCAACAAUGGGAAUGCUAUAAACGUGGGUGGGGAAGACUUCAGAGGAGGAAGUUUUAUGGGGGAGAGCAGGAGCUCAGUUUGGGGCAUGUCAAGAAUGAGAUGCCUUAUUAAACAUUCGAGCCAAGACACUGAACAGAGCUGAGUCUGGAGUUCACAGAGAGCCAAGCUGGGGACAUGGAUUUGCAAUCAAUCAGUGCACAGAUGGCAUCAGUUCCACGGGACUGAGAGUUCACCAGCGUAGCGAGAACAGCCAAAACCAAACCAAACCAAAACGUUCUCCACAGGUCCCAGGAGUGAGCCAGAGACUUUAAGCUGAAAGGUCAGCCAUCCAAGGAGGGAUCAGGAAGGGGAAGAGGAGGAACAGCAACGAGGGAGGGAGGACCGCCGGAAGGGUGAGCGCUAUGCUCGUGGGCUCGGGCGGAGUGGCACCUCGGGAGCUUCCUACUAUCAGGGAGGAGGGAGAGACAUGAAGGCUGCACAUACACAGAAAAAAAAAAAAACCCAACAACAUGUGGGGACACGGAGAAGGCAUAGCCUGAGGAGAAACCAGCCAUGCCAACACCUUGAUCUCAGACUUCUAACCUCCAAAACUGUGAGAAAACGAACGCCUAUUGUUAAGUUGCCCAGCCUGUGGUAUUUUGUUACGGAAGCCUGAGCAAACUAACACAGCCUGGCAUUUUUGCUCUGAAGUUUACAGGAUUGAUUGGAAUUUAUGGGAAUAGAUUUAUAGUUGCACAACUCAAUGCUAUGCAGGGAUUUUCUCCAGCGUGAUUCCUUUGGUGAAACAGUGGCCCCCACUUCCUACUGUCUGCCCAAACCCAAGCCAGCGAAAGUGUCCAUUCACCCAUCCAUUCAGUCAUUUACUCAUUCAUUCAACAAAUAUUUAUUGAAGACUUACUGUAAAGGUCUUAUAAAAGGUGAUGGAACCUUGUCCAUAUCAGGGUUAGACAUGGCUAAGUUCUGGGGAAUUAGAACAUAUUAUUAAUCUCCAUAACAAAUACAGCUUUUGAUGACACACAGAAACGAAUGAAAUCGGACACAAAGUCCCAAUCAGUUUUUGGAAAUAAUCCACAAAAUAAAUGGAAGUUUCAGUUCCAUAAACAACUAAAUUGGAUCCAGAUAUCAGAUAAUUCCACAUUAUAUUGAAAAAGAAGAAAUCGGGCCAGGCAUCAGCAUGUUGGGAGGCUGAGGUGGGCAGAUCACUUGAGGUCAGGAGUUCAAGACCAGCCUGGCCAACAUGGUGAAACCUUGUCUCUACUAAAAAUACAAAAAUCAGCCAGGUGUGCUGGCACAUGCCUGUAAUCCCAGCUACUCAGGAGGCUGAGGCAUGAGAAUUGCUUGAACCUGGAUGGCAGAGGUUGCAGUGGGCCGAUUGUGCCACUGCACAUGGUUUGGCUGUGUCUCCACCCAAAUCUCAUCUUGAAUUGUAACUGCAAGAAUUCCCAUGUGUCGUGGGAGGAACCUGGUGGGCAGUGAUUGAAUAAUGGGGGCAGGUCUGUCCUGCACUGUUCUUGAGAUGGUGAAUGAGUCUCAUGAAGUCUGGUGGCUUUAGAAAUGGGAGUUUCCCUGCACAAAUUCUCUCUUCGCUUGUUUGCCCCCAUGUGAGAUGUGACUUUCACAUUCCACCAUGAUUGUGAGGCCUCUCCAGCCAUGUGGAACUUUAAGUCCAAUAAACCUCUUUCUUUUGUAAAUUGCCCAGUCUCUGAUAUGUCUUUAUCAGCAGCAUAAAAAUGGACUAAUACCAUCUUGUAUACUGUUUGGUUAAUAAAUGCCCUUCUGGGAGACAGGCCUCACAACAUCCACAAAAGCUGGGCUGCUUUCUGGGGCAGAAAGAGCUUAAUGAAGAUUAAUAUCUUUGUGUUGAGUGAACUCUGAGAUGGCUCCCUGUGGUCCCUGACUCCUGGUGUUCUCACCCUUGUGUAAUGUCCCCAAUUGUGUGCAGGCAGGACCUUCGAUUUGGUUUUAACAAACAGAGAAGAGCAAAGAUGAUAGGAUGUCACCUCUGUAAAUAUAAGAUGACGACUUGUGUCUUGG